rnacentral:pre_miRNA from 14 species
AAUCAUGGAAUAGCUUCAAUUCCGUAGUGCAUUGCAGUGUGUUUUUGACGAACUGCAAGCAAUGUGGAAGUGAAGCGAUUCUCUAUGAUAAACAAC